GGCAUUCUUAAAGUGAAAGAGUGGCCAUUGUAAAGUCCCAAGGCAGGGUUUCAUCAGUUAUAUGACCCAGCAGGUCUGGGACUAGGUACCUUCUUCAUUUCCGGGCUUGGCAAUUGCAGGUAACUGAAAAUACAAUUGUUCAACUGGUCCGUUGCCUCAUACACAAAUCCCACACUAGCCAAGAAUGCGGAGAUCCUUAUGAUGUCAGAAACACAUCUGAGAAUGAUAUCACUUUAAGGGCUUGCCCUCUAGCUAUUCUUGGAACCCUGCCUCUGCCACGCUUAAAGAGCCCAAGCUAGCCUGACCGAUGAUGAGAGGCACGUGGACCAUUUACCCCCGUUGCCCUCGUCAACAUCCCACCAACUGCCAACCAUGCAGUAUCAGUAAUUGCAUGGUUUCAAGUUGUUGAAGAACUAUGGAUGGAGCAAAGAUGGACUUGAAUUUCCAGCCAACAGGAUGCCAUUCAGAGCUGUGUUCAUACCACCGAUCCCAUUAGUCGGGAGGAGCCAAUCGAGCCUGUUUUCGGAAUCUGGGCUGUCCCUGGGGCUUCCCACUGACGUCAGGGCCGUGCAGCUUCCUCCAGCCCCCGAGAGCAGGUCUGGGAUUGUCCCUUCUUUGAAGGUUAAAAACAGGUUAAGAGCUGUCAAUGAAUAAAAUGCAGAUGAAGGGAGUGGUCAUGAUCAGAUUACCUGCCCAUGUCAAUUUAUAAAAAUCCCAGCAAUCCCAACGGUGUGCAUCUACAGACCUCCUUGGGCUUUGUCCAGAAGAAAGAAAUCAGAGGUGGUUUCUCCCUAAAUCUUUUAUAAAUUACAAAAAUUUUCAACUGGAGUGCAAGGAACCUGCCUGUUGUCCAACAGAAUCCCCUUGCCUUUGAUUUCUAGAGGUUGACAUCUGGGAUCAAAAUGAGGGCAUCUGUAGACCAUGGCCAGCCCAAUAAGCUUGCCUCACUGGAGUAAGCUUGCUGGUGCUCUACUCCUGGCUGGCUGAGCUGCCGCAAGAAAGCAAACUUUCCUAAACAGUGUUGACAAUAGCGCCACCUCCAAGGGUGCCUCUCAGGCAAGAAGUUCCCAACCACCGCCUACAGUGGCCAUCAAGCCGUCUUUGACAGCAUUAGUCAUUAGAAAGUUUUUCUUUUUGUUAAGCCCUCAUCAGCUUUAUUAUGCCUCCCACCUCUUCACAAAGGAGACAUGAAUUUUAAAAAUGUCUUUGCCCUGGAGCCAAAAGCACUCCGUUAUAAAUACUGUAUUUGCCAAAUUCAGAUAAAAAGUCGAUGUGUACUCUUGAGUGGCAAUCAAGAGAAUGUGUCCCAUCUAUGCAGGCUCACGUGAACGUGGCUUGAGUCCAUUUCGGCAUUAUGAGCUGACACAUAUGAAACUGCUCAUUUUGUAGACCACCAUUGAUUGACAACUGGCCACGUGACAGGAUUCAACCUGUACUAUAAUGGUUAAGAAUGUGGAUUUUGGAGCUCCUUCUCCCACUUGGUAGCUGUGAUCUUGGGCAAGUUACUAACGACUCUGUACCUUAAUUUCCUCAUCUCGGUAAUAUUUAUUUCAUAAUUAUAAUAUCAUUUUCACAACAUUUAUGGGGGAAAAAAAGAAUGGGCUAAUAUAUGUAAGGCAUCUAGAAGAGUUCUUAGCAUUUAGAGAAAAUUAUUGAUUCCGUUUUCAUAGGAUUUCCUGGCUGUAAUUAAAUAUCUUGUUCUAGAAGGACAGAAGCUAUGUGGGGUGGGGUGGAUAGCUGCAAGAAGGACAUUUGUCUAGGACUUCCUGUACAAAAAGGGCUUCAUUGUAAAUUUCUGAUGUUAUCUCCAAAUGAAGGUAAACAUACAGUCACAGAGACACAGACAAGAUUUACAAACUACUAUAAUUGGUAAUAAGGUAUUAAUUAUUAACACUUAAAUUUAUCACAAUAU